GAGGAAAUUUGAGAGGACCUGUCCUUAGUACGAGAGGACCGGGAUGGACAUACCGCUGGUGUACCAGUUGUUCCGCCAGGAGCACCGCUGGGUAGCUAUGUAUGGACGAGAUAAACGCUGAAAGCAUCUAAGUGUGAAACUCGCCUCGAGAUGAGAUUUCCCAUUCCUUCGGGAAGUAAGACCCCACAAAGAUGAUGUGGUAGAUAGGAUGGAAGUGGAAGUGCCGUGAGGCAUGGAGCGGACCAUUACUAAUCGGUCGAGGACUUAACCAAGUU
rnacentral:rRNA from 1 species